AACGAACGCUGGCGGCGUGGCUAAGGCAUGCAAGUCGAACGGACCCUUCGGGGUUAGUGGCGAACGGGUGAGGAAUACAUGGAUAACGUACCCUGAACUCAAGAAUAGCGAAGCGAAAGUUUCGGUAAUACUUGAUAACCCCACAGUAUCGCAUGGAACAGUGGGCAAAGUUACGGCGGUUCAGGAGCGGUUCAUGUCCUAUCAGCUUGUUGGUGGGGUAAUGGCCUACCAAGGCAACGACGGGUACCGGGCGUGAGAGCGUGACCCGGCACAUCGGCACUGAGACACUGGCCGGACACCUACGGGUGGCUGCAGCAACGAAUAUUCCGCAAUGGACGAAAGUCUGACGGAGCGACGCCGCGUGCAGGAAGAAUUCCCUCGGGAUGUAAACUGCUGUCAGGGGAUAGAAAGAUCUGAUCAACCCCAAAGGAAGCACCGGCUAACUCCGUGCCAGCAGCCGCGGUAAUACGGAGGGUGCAAGCGUUGUUCGGAAUCACUGGGCUUAAAGCGCGUGUAGGCGGAAUAUCAGGUGUCUUGUGAAAUCCCCAGGCUCAACCUGGGAAUUGCUUGGCAAACCGAUAUCU
rnacentral:rRNA from 1 species